rnacentral:rRNA from 1 species
GACGAACGCUGGCGGCGUGCCUAAUACAUGCAAGUAGAACGCACAGUUUAUACCGUAGCUUGCUCCACCAUAGACUGUGAGUUGCGAACGGGUGAGUAACGCGUAGGUAACCUGCCUGGUAGCGGGGGAUAACUAUUGGAAACGAUAGCUAAUAUCGCAUAAUAUUAAUUAUUGCAUGAUAAUUAAUUGAAAGGUGCAAUUGCACCACUACCAGAUGGACCUGCGUUGUAUUAGCUAGUAGGUGAGGUAACGGCUCACCCAGGCGAAGAUACAUAGCCGACCUGAGAGGGGUAUCGGCCACACUGGGACUGAGACACGGCCCAGACUCCUACGGGAGGCAGCAGUAGGGAAUCUUCGGCAAUGGACGAAAGUCUGACCGAGCAACGCCGCGUGAGUGAAGAAGGUUUUCGGAUCGUAAAGCUCUGUUGUAAGAGAAGAACGGGUGUGAGAGUGGAAAGUUCACACUGUGACGGUAUCUUACCAGAAAGGGACGGCUAACUACGUG